GCCCAACACCUAGCCCCACAGACAAAUAAACCAACCCCCUAUUAAUUUUAUAAAAAAGAUCGAACACAAAAACAACAAAACAUUUUUCCCCCUUAGUACGGGCGACAGAAAAG
rnacentral:rRNA from 1 species